AUGCCUUCACCCUUCCUUCAUUCAAGUAUAUUUCCAUGCCCAUGCUUCAAAAUCAUGCUAGGCAGACCACAUUUGCAAUCCUGCAUAAACCAGUUCCUACAUCAACACCAACACACAUACAUUAAUGUUCAUUCAAAACAGAAAGCAACCUGUAAGCAUUCAUCAUCACAGGCCCUGCAUAUUCAUACCAAAUCAAUCUAA